rnacentral:rRNA from 1 species
UCAAGGUUAAAACUCAAAUGAAUUGACGGGGGCCCGCACAAGCGGUGGAGCAUGUGGUUUAAUUCGAUGCAACGCGAAGAACCUUACCUGGUCUUGACAUCCAUAGAAUUCUGCAGAGAUGUGGGAGUGCCUUCGGGAACUAUGAGACAGGUGCUGCAUGGCUGUCGUCAGCUCGUGUUGUGAAAUGUUGGGUUAAGUCCCGCAACGAGCGCAACCCUUAUUCUUUGUUGCCAGCGAUUUGGUCGGGAACUCAAAGGAGACUGCCGUUGAUAAAGCGGAGGAAGGUGGGGACGACGUCAAGUCAUCAUGGCCCUUACGACCAGGGCUACACACGUGCUACAAUGGCGUAUACAAAGGGAAGCGAAGGUGCGAGCUGGAGCGGAUCUCAUAAAGUACGUCUAAGUUCGGAUUGGAGUCUGCAACUCGACUCCAUGAAGUCGGAAUCGCUAGUAAUCGUAGAUCAGAAUGCUACGGUGAAUACGUUCCCGGGCCUUGUACACACCGCCCGUCACACCAUGGGAGUGGGUUGCACCAGAAGUAGAUAGCUUAACCGCGAGGGGGGCGUUUACCACGGUGUGAUUCAUGACUGGGGUGAAGUCGUAACAAGGUAACCA